UGAAAGCUCUCUGCUCCCAGCUU
rnacentral:misc_RNA from 1 species